UACGUAGGCAGCAAGCGUUGCUCGGAAUCACUGGGCGUAAAGGGUGCGUAGGCGGGUCUUUAAGUCAGGGGUGAAAUCCUGGAGCUCAACUCCAGAACUGCCUUUGAUACUGAAGAUCUUGAGUUCGGGAGAGGUGAGUGGAACUGCGAGUGUAGAGGUGAAAUUCGUAGAUAUUCGCAAGAACACCAGUGGCGAAGGCGGCUCACUGGCCCGAUACUGACGCUGAGGCGCGAAAGCGUGGGGAGCAAACAGG
rnacentral:rRNA from 1 species